GGCAGCAGUGGGGAAUAUUGCACAAUGGGCGAAAGCCUGAUGCAGCGACGCCGCGUGAGGGAUGACGGCCUUCGGGUUGUAAACCUCUUUCAGUAGGGAAGAAGCGAAAGUGACGGUACCUGCAGAAGAAGCACCGGCUAACUACGUGCCAGCAGCCGCGGUAAUACGUAGGGUGCGAGCGUUAUCCGGAAUUAUUGGGCGUAAAGAGCUCGUAGGCGGUUUGUCGCGUCUGUCGUGAAAGUCCGGGGCUUAACCCCGGAUCUGCGGUGGGUACGGGCAGACUAGAGUGCAGUAGGGGAGACUGGAAUUCCUGGUGUAGCGGUGGAAUGCGCAGAUAUCAGGAGGAACACCGAUGGCGAAGGCAGGUCUCUGGGCUGUAACUGACGCUGAGGAGCGAAAGCAUGGGGAGCGAACAGGAUUAGAUACCCUGGUAGUCCAUGCCGUAAACGUUGGGCACUAGGUGUGGGGACCAUUCCACGGUUUCCGCGCCGCAGCUAACGCAUUAAGUGCCCCGCCUGGGGAGUACGGCCGCAAGGCUAAAACUCAAAGGAAUUGACGG
rnacentral:rRNA from 1 species